rnacentral:rRNA from 1 species
UGCUAAAUGGACUCAUGGCGGACGGGUGAGUAACGCGUAAAGAACUUGCCCUUUAGACUGGGAUAACAGAGGGAAACUUCUGAUAAUACUGGAUAAGUUAGUAUAUCGCAUGAUAUGCAAAUGAAAGCUACGGCACUAAAGGAGAGCUUUGCGUCCUAUUAGCUAGUUGGUAAGGUAAGAGCUUACCAAGGCGAUGAUAGGUAGCCGGCCUGAGAGGGUGGACGGCCACAAGGGGACUGAGAUACGGCCCUUACUCCUACGGGAGGCAGCAGUGGGGAAUAUUGGACAAUGGAGGGAACUCUGAUCCAGCAAUUCUGUGUGUGAAGAAGGUUUUAGGACUGUAAAACACUUUUAGUAGGGAAGAAAAAAAUGACGGUACCUACAGAAGAAGCAACGGCUAAAUACGUGCCAGCAGCCGCGGUAAUACGUAUGUUGCGAGCGUUAUCCGGAAUUAUUGGGCUUAAAGGGCAUCUAGGCGGUAAGACAAGUUGAAGGUGAAAACCUGUGGCUCAACCAUAGGCUUGCCUACAAAACUGUUGAACUAGAGUACUGGAAAGGUGGGUGGAACUACACGAGUAGAGGUGAAAUUCGUAGAUAUGUGUAGGAAUGCCGAUGAUGAAGAUAACUCACUGGACAGAAACUGACGCUGAAGUGCGAAAGCUAGGGGAGCGAACAGGAUUAGAUACCCUGGUAGUCCUAGCUGUAAACGAUGAUCACUGGGUGUGGGGAUGCGAAGUCUCUGUGCCGAAGCAAAAGCGAUAAGUGAUCCGCCU